AAAAACACUCCUUACGAGUUGAUAGUUUCUCAUUCCUCUCCAAAUCUAAAGUAAUUAAAGAAGAAGAAGGAUGGCCAACACUUUUGUGAGGUCUGGUUAUAUUCUUGCUAUUCUGUUUGCUAUCGUCGUUGCAGCUACUGGAAACAGAUUGUAUCCGAAGCCUCAGCUGAACGGUGAACAAGUUGACCAUUCCAUCCUCCACUCUGCCUUGUCACUAACAGGAGGACCACUAUACGGUACAUGUUCGUACUACCAAUUCGUUUAUGACUGCAACGAUUGCAACAAAAAGUGCAAACAAAAUAACAGCAACUGGUGGGGACAGUGUACUAUGUGGCCGUUCCGUGAUUGCUACUGCUAUUACAACUGUUGAUAGCCAAAUCAUGAUCAUAUAUAAAUCUAUAUAUUACUCAAGUUUGUGACAAGAAAAAAGACACGGAGAGUAUUUUCCGUAUGUCAAAUCCUCGUAUGUGCUUGCUGUGUGUUUUGGAUGCUUUUCUAUUUUACCAUGUUUGAUAAUUAUUCUGUAUGUUUGUUUGUUUCUCUUGAGUUCGUUGUAAUGCAGGGUUCUUGUUGAUGUUUAAUGAGUACCUUUAUGCAAAUAAUUUCUUUUAUAGAUCUUUAAUCGGUUAGUA